rnacentral:rRNA from 1 species
UACGUAGGGUGCAAGCGUUGUCCGGAAUUAUUGGGCGUAAAGAGCGUGUAGGCGGCCAGGUAGGUCUGCUGUGAAAACUCGAGGCUUAACCUCGAGCUGUCGGCGGAAACCAUCUGGCUAGAGUCCGGAAGAGGAGAAUGGAAUUCCCGGUGUAGCGGUGAAAUGCGCAGAUAUCAGGAAGAACACCCGUGGCGAAGGCGGCUCUCUGGGACGGUACUGACGCUGAGACGCGAAAGCGUGGGGAGCGAACAGG